AUUGCGCCUGCUCUUAGCCAGGUUACCCCCUGAACUUAAGCAUAUCAUUAAGGGGAGGAAGAGAAACCAACAGGGAUUCCCAUAGUAGUGGCGAACGAAAUGGGAUGAGUCCAAGGUGAGAGCCAACCUAGUUGGAUUGCGCCCUAGUUAUUAGUGUAGUAUGUUAGAGUUGAUAGGAAGUUAGUUGGAACGCUACACCAUAGAGGGUGAUAGUCCCGUAGUAUCCAUUCUAGCAUACAUGUACUAGUAAUGUGAGUCGGGUAGCUUGGGAGUGCUGCCUUAAGAUCGGAGGUGCGAACCUUCGAAGACUAAAUACAGCCGUGACACCGAUAGCGAACAAGUACCGUGAGGGAACGAUGAAAAGCACUCUGGAGAGAGAGUGAAAAGUACCUGAACCCGUCGCAAGGGAAGAGCAUAGCAAUAUGUUAAUGGUAUACUUCAAUACUGAAGUGGGCACUUGAGAUACCUAGUGUUGCUAUGCUACCCGUCUUGAAACACGGACCAAGGAGUCGUCGCAUGAGGCGAGCAAAUGAGUAGAACACUCACAUGCGAAGCGAAAGCGAAGGAUAGACAACCUAGUUGGCAUAUCCUAGGGCUUACGAGUACCUAAGAGUCUCAUGCGUCGGACCCGAAAGACGGUGAUCUUUACGUGGCUAGGACGAAGCCAGGGGAAACUCUGGUGGAGGUCCGUAGGCGUCCUGAUCUGCGAAUCGGUGCUCUGAGUUGCGUAAAGGGGCGAAAGACUCAUCGAACCGUCUAGUAGCUGGUUCCCUCCGAAAUUUCCCUCAGGAUAGCAGUCGAUUAAUGAGCUGCAUGCGGUAGAGCAAAGGUUGGAGGUUAGGGGGACGCUUAGUUCUUCGCCUACUCCCGAACUGCGAACGUGUGCGCCACUACUUACAUGAUAGAAGUCGUGGGUAUAGUCAGAUCGACUAGUGGGCCUUUCUCGGUAAGCGGGACGGGCACAGCGGGACGAACCGAACGUGAUGUUAAGGUGCCAAACUAUUGGCUAAUGAGAAACCUAAACGGCGUGCGUGGCUCAUGACAGCAAGAAGGUGUCCCCAAAAGUAGGAAUCCUCCAAGGAGUGUGUUACAACUCACUUGCCGAAGCCAGGUGCCCGGAAAAUGGAUGGCGCUAAAGCCAAUGACCUAUACAUCACCACUGUUUUAGGUAAAACAGUGAGUAGGAGGGCGUGUUGGUAGGGUAGAAGUACUAAUGUGAAUUAGUAUGGACCUUCCAAUAGUGCAGAUCUUGGUGGUAGUAGCGAUUACAUAUGUGAGAACCAUAUGGACUGAAGUGGAGAAGGGUUCCGUGGCCACUGCGUUUGUCCACGGGUUAGUCGAUCCUAAGAGCUAGGAGAAAUCCAUGAACAGGGCAAUUUGAAAGGAUAGCCCGUAGUCGAAAGGGAAUGCAGUUAACAUUCUGCAACCUAGAAUCGGAGCAACGGUAACGUAAUACACUUGGUAACACUGGAGAUUAUGUAAGCAGGAGUCAUCUUGUCCUGUUAACAUUACGAUGACAAAGGAAGCGAGUUAAUCGGAGAUAUUGUUGUUGUGAUGGAAGAGCGAAUAGUCUUACAUUAAUCUACAGUCCAUGAAAAGCCAAGGCAAAGUACUCAAGAUUCUAGAUCGUACCAAAACCGCAGCAGGUCUCCAGGGUUCGUAGCCUCUAGUCAAGCGGAUUAACAUAAGUAAGGGAAGUCGGCAAAAUAGGUCCGUAACUUCGGGAUAAGGGCUGGCUCUGUCGAUAGGAGGAAGGGAGUGAAGGGCGCGUGCUAGGUACAAGUUAAGAGUAAGCUUGCUUACACUUGCUUGUAGCUGGCACUUAACCCUUUACCGAUGCUUGCAUCAUGCCUUCCUGUUUAGCUAUCAAGAUGGAACUGGAACGGACAAGGGGAACCCAACUGUCUAAUUAAAACAUAGCAUGACGACGUAGUGUAAGCUAUGUGACGCCAUGUGAAUUCUGCCCAGUGCUCUGACAGUGACUCUGAAGAAGUUCAGCCAAGCUCGGGUUAACGGCGGGAGUAACCUUGACUCUCUUAAGGUAGCCAAAUGCCUCGUCAUGUAAUUAGUGACGUGCAUGAAUGGAUCAAUGAGGUUCCCACUGUCCCUACUUAUGCUCCGGCGAAACCACAGCCAUGGGAACGGGCUUGGAAUUAAUCAGCGGGGCAAGAAGACCCUGUUGAGCUUUACUCUAGUCAGCUGUUGUGGAGCGGCCGUUCGGAUAGAGUGUAGCUGGGAGCCCCUAGGGCGUCGAUGGAACACCAGCACCGAGCGCGCCACUCUGCUUACCGGGUUAUUAGAUUAUCGUUAAUUGUAUGCUUUAAUCCGUCCUGGGACAAUAGCCGAUGGGGAGUUUGGCUGGGGCGGCAUAACCGCUAUAUGGUAACGCGGUUGUCCUAAGGGGAGCUCAGUAGGAUCAGAACUCCUACGUUGAGUAUAAGGGCAAAAGCUCCCUUGACAUGUAAGACCAGUACUCUUACAUGCCGUGAAAGCGUGGCCUAGUGAUCCUUUGAUGGAAUGUUAGCUUCCACAUUGGUGUCAGAAAAGUUACCACAGGGAUAACUGGCUUGUGGCAGCCAAGCGUUCAUAGCGACGUUGCUUUUUGAUUCUUCGAUGUCGGCUCUUCCUAUCAUGGGGAAGCAGAAUUCCCCAAGCGUCGGAUUGUUCACCCGCCAACAGGGAUCGUGAGCUGGGUUUAGACCGUCGUGAGACAGGUUAGUUUUACCCUACUGAUAAGCCUAUGUUAUCAGCAAUCCAUUCCAGUACGAGAGGAACAGGUGGAUCAGACCACUGGUUUGUGCGUUUGUUCGACCGAACAGCGACGCCAAGCUACGUCUGCCGGGCCACGGCUGAGCGCCUCUAAGCCG
rnacentral:rRNA from 1 species